UAAUGCAACAAGAUAUAGAUAAAUUUUUAGAAAAAAGUUUAAUUGUAAGAUCGAUAGAACUUGUCUAACACGAUCGAAAUAAACGAUCCAUGAUUGAAAAGGAGAACGAAGAUUAGAUAAUAAAAAAGUAAAUAAAAAUAUGAUGUUAAGAACGAAAAGUCGUGGACAAGAUUGCCGGGGGUGGUUGCACGUCAUCGUCGGUGACGGGCUUGAGACGAACAGAAGGAAAUAGGGUCGCGAGACGUGGAACCGCUAUUUGAAAAGGGACAAGAAGGAGGUAGGGGAUUGGUGUGCUAGAGGAGGGUUAGAUGAAAGGGCGUUCAGUUAUGGGAAAAUACGAAAGCCGAAGAGAAGGGAGAAGAAGAAGGAAGGAAUAUGUCACCUGAAUACCACGGUAAUGUUCACAAAAUGCCGGAAAUAUAAGCAAACGCGUCGCGGCAACGCUCCUGGGAACUGUCGUUUACAUAAAUAGCUUGCACCGGUGGAGAUUCCGCGCGUAGCAUUCAACGCUGACGACCGUGCACGCAGGUAGCAACAGAACGUGUACGUGUCUCAAUAUUUGACGGCAGAAUUUCCGAGCAUUUGCCUACCAAAUGCAACUUGGUGUCCUUCCUAGCCAACACUCACCAAUCCCGGUUCUACUCUUCGCAAGCCCUUAUCAAACUACUACUACUACUACUACUACUACUACUACUAUUACUACUACUACUAUUACUAUUACUAUAGGGCCGUUCUUCGCCCAGGACAUCUGGCCUACGUGUCAAACGGCAAGACUCAAGACGCCUACCUUGCAUCUUCUACAAACCUGGAUGCAACCGGAGACAGAUCGCUUUGAUUUCGUGAUAACAUUUUGUCCUUUCACUCCUUCGUCUCAUUGAUCGAUACAAUAUAGAAGAUCGAUUGAUUGAUUGAUCAAUCGAUCGAUCAAAUUCCCUAAUGUGAGAGCACGUGUUAAUUGUGUGCACCUGUUAAUUUAGAGGACGUCUAUUAUGUAUAGGGAGUUUACAUUGCAUGGAUUUUCCGAUCGAUAAUUCAAUUCCAGUGUACUUAGUCAUGCGUUUAUGCAUCUAUCGGAUAAAAAAAAAAAAAGUAAAAAAACACUUUACGACAAUAAACGAAUAUACAAAAUUACAUUUUAAAAUCGAUAGGAAUACUUGUUGUUUCAAUUAUUCAUUUAAUUAAUUGCAAAACUUUACGUAUAUACCUUUAUUGCCUUUUGUUAUACAGUCGCGUACUACUUGCUCAUUCAUUACGAGUAUUUUACAAUACGUUGUAUUUUACACUACGCAGCAAUUUACGCUACGCUUUUUAUACAACAUGAUUUAGAGUAGAGUUUUUAUUUUGGAUUUUAAUUUUUUCACGAGACGAAUAAGUGAAUUUUUUAUGCAUAACAUGUUCAUACCAAUAUAUACUUAUACCAUGUUCGAGUAUCGUUUAACUGAUAGGUUAAAUUUUUAUACAAAGUAAAUGGUAAAGAAUGAUUUUUCAUAUAUUCUAUUUUUGCAUAUUGUUGUUGCAAGAGAGAGCACAGUUCUUUUCUUGAUUCGAUAUAACAUUAUCUACGAUCCAUUCUAAUAAUACAAUAUUUUAGAUAAAUAUCUUUCCUAUUUCGAAUCGAAAAAGAAACGUUACGUAUUUACUUUUAUUAAAUUUAACUUUUCAUCGGAAUACGAUCGAUCGAAAGAAAUUUAUUGAUAGAAUAAUUAUAAAUUUAUGUUUGUAGAUGAAUAAACAAUUACUAUUUGCGUUAUUAAAUAUAUUUGAAAUAAACAUAAAAGUAUAAUUUACUCGGGGAUCGAUUGAAGCCCGUAAAAGAUUUUCACGGAAAGAAAUAACGGUGAAUUUAAAGAGGUGUAAGUCUUGGUGUAACGAUAACGUGAUGUUGCGGAAAAAUGAUUGAUCGUGUAAAAUAUAUAAUCGUUUGUUGUUUGUUCGAUAAAUGUAGGUCAUCAAAAUUACGCCGAUGCGCUUGCCAGCGUGGUGUGUGGUAUUGCUAUCGAUGAAAGAAAACAUUCACCAGCGCUUAUUUACGAGCUACACAUACCUGUUCUGUGUGCGUAUGUAUGUAUAUAUAAAUGUACACUUUGUACAACCUUUCUGUGUUUAUUUUCUAAUAUCUUCAGUUAUAAACGACACAUUGGCAAGUAUGCACGUUUCCUACGCGUACUGCUGGUAUUUACCUGUAGGCAACAUAUGUAAACAACGAUAUUUGAUUACAUUUUAGUUGAAAUUUAUUGCGUCAAGCAUAAUAGAGAUUACAUUUAAUCCGCUGUAUUCGACUAUUAAAAUAGAUAUUUAUUUGACGUAUUUUACAUGGCUAUAGGUAAACAAGUUUUCAAAUGAAAAUUGAUUCAAUAUCGAGGGAAAGCAAUUGUUACAAAAAAAUAAAACAUCAACGCAACGAGUUAAAACUUUUACCCUGAAGCAGCAUCACUAGGUUAACAGCAGAUGAUAUAUAUAUAGGGUGUAACAAUCUUGCGGGUAGCAGAUUAUAAGUGUCCUUGAAGUAUGAUAACUGGCUUGGACGCGGCGUCCUUUGCAGAUGCAAAGCUUUGAAACUUGUACGCCAUGAUUCUGUCGGAUUAGAAGUGUCUACGACGUUCCGUUAGGCUGGAGUAGGACGAUAGCGGUUGCAACUGUUCUCUGAGCUAAUACAAAGCUAAUUCGAAAGGGCCAAGGAUAGGAACACUAGUAGGAUUUUCGGUUCGAACAUAAGCAAUUUAAACUAGACUAUUGCUUAAACUCACGUAAUAUAUUAAUAUUAAGUGUGUAAAAUAAUUUUGAAAUAAUAUAAAUGGGAAAGUUGUUUA
rnacentral:lncRNA from 1 species